UCUCUCUCUCGCUCUCGUCUCUCUGCGCUAGUUUUCUCCACAAAAUAACCUUCAUCUUCCCACUCUUUAUCCUCCUCCGCUUCUCCCCUUCUUCGUUCACUUCCCUCAACGGAGAUCGACGAACGAGAUUGCCCGACGAGCUUUUGCGCCCGAUUUCUGGUUCCUUAUUUCGCUUCUUGUUCCAAAUAGGCUGACGGAGUGUUCUCUUCCAUUGUUUCGGGCGAGUUAGGGUGUUGGAGCGAGAUCUGAACCCAGAUCGAGUGCUUUGGGAUGUUGAUCUUUGAAAUUUGGUGAGUAAUUUGCGGAAUUUUUUGCUCUCUAGAACGGCUUGAGAGAGAAAUAAAAUGACUUGAGAGCGAGAUACAGAGAGAAACAACGAAAGAAAAACUAGGGCGUCAGUGGCUAAAGGUAGAAGGAUACGUGUUGGACAAUGGGAGGCCGCGAGGCAGACACCAAGGGACCGAGAACAUCAGUUGCGCUGGAGCAUCCGCCGGCAACAAGCUCUAGCCCCAGUGCAGCAGUCUAUCCGGAAUGGUCUGGAUUUCAGGCAUACCCGUCCAUUCCUCCACAUGGCUUCUUCCAUUCACCAGUGGUAUCAAGCCCUCAGGCUCAUCCAUACAUGUGGGGAGCACAGCACCUUUUGCCGCCUUAUGGGACUCCACCACCUCCAUAUGUUAUGUAUCCUCAUGGAAUAUAUACACAGCCAUCUGUGCCACCUGGUUCACAACCAUUUAGUCCUUAUGCUAUGACCUACCCUAAUGGCAGUGCUGAAACUUGUAAGAGUGUGCCUGCAAUCACUGAAGGAGAUAUUAAAUCAUCCGAGGGUAAGGAAAGGAAUUCUAUUCAAAGGUUAAAAGGAAGUCUUGGAAGUUUGAACAUAAUAGCAGGAAAGAACAGCAAUGAGCCAGAUAAAACUUCAGUUGCAGGUGACAGAGUCUUGUCGCAAAGUGAUAGUGGAAGUGAUGAUUCAAGCGAAGGAAGUGAUGCAAAAUCUGAGGACGACUUGGAACAAAAAACGAGAGGCAAACAGGAGCUUCUGGAUGAGAUAUCCAGAAAUGGCACAAAUGGUGUGAUCACUGCACCAACAUGGGCAACAUCACAUCAGACAAUGCCGAUUAUGCAUAUGCUACCAGCUGGAGUACCUGGAGUGGUUGCUGGUCCCACCACAAACUUGAGUAUAGGGAUGGAUUACUGGGUUUCUCCAACAUCUGCCAUUCCUCCAGAGCAUGGGAAGGUCCCUGCAGCAGCAGCUACAGGAGCCAUGAUUUCCGGUGCACUUGUUGGGGCCACUGAGAAGGUUCCAUCAGAGAUUUGGCAACAGGAUGAAAGAGAACUCAAAAGGCAGAGGAGAAAGCAGUCAAACAGGGAAUCCGCACGUCGGUCGAGAUUGCGCAAGCAGGCAGAGUAUGAAGAAUUGGCUCAGCGUGUUGAGGCUCUAAGAGAUGAGAAUGCUGCUCUUCAAGCAGAAGUAGAGCAGAUCAAGAAAGAAUACGAUGCACUUGUUGCAUUAAAUGCCACUCUGAAGGAGAGAACUGGGGAAACAACAAAAGAAAAAGAAGAUUUGAUAAUCAAGGAGAGAAGCCAUCAUGCUGAUGACAACGUCCAGAGGAACAUGGAUUCUGAUCCACCAACGGGGCCAUCAGAAAAUAAUCAGAUUGAUCAAUAAAACAGCAACUUCUACAGUAAUUUCCUCAAGUCUAAGCCUGACUAGAUCAUGACAGUGCCCUACCUCCUAAUAGAUUGACAUGAAAAAUUGAUGCAGUUGCUUAUUUCUGGGUACCACAUUGUAUAUACUGACAUUUCAGCAUGGUCCCUUUGGUGUUUUUGUCUUGACUCAUCUUUUAACAGUCAAGCCAAGCAGCGGGUAUAAUGCUGGAAUUAGUGCUCAUUAUUUAGAGCAACACCAGGAAACUUGUUCUACACAUGCUGUUAAUUCUGAGGAGCAACCUACAUCUUUAGGAGGAUGAAUGCAGUUCCUUCUAAAGCAUCUUCCAUAAGACUCUGCAGCUGCUGUGCCCACACAAUUACUGCCAAAUGUCGACUGAAAGCAAUGUCUUGCACCAAAGAACAUUGUUUCGACCAAUCUGGUAUGGUCUUUUUCUUUUCUUCCAUAGCAAAUCAUGGACUAAUUUCCACCUUGCAUGAUGAACAUUAUCUUUUGGACUCCCCAACCCCUCAUUCCCUCAUCUCCAACUGGCCAUGCUUUUUGUGCCAUGUGGCAUGACCAUAUCUUGAGUCAUGAGAUGGCCACCAAGCAAUCUCCAUGCAUCGUAACCCUCAAAAACACCUAGUUUGCAGGGUUCAUAAACCAAGAGAAGAUUUUAAAUGCAUGUAAAUUCCUUCUUUUUUUAUUUUUUAAUUUCACUGUCAGAUGAAGCUAGAAGACAACCUUCACAUAGGAAACCCAAACUCCCACCUCAAUAAGCUCCCCAGUUUUUGUCCAUCACUAGGACAAAUGAC